UACAGAGGUCUCAAGCGUUGUUCGGAUUCAUUGGGCGUAAAGGGUGCGUAGGCGGAUUUGUUAGUCAGGGGUGAAAUCCCGGGGCUCAACCUCGGAACUGCCUUUGAUACUGCAAGUCUCGAGUCCGAUAGAGGUGGGUGGAAUUCCUAGUGUAGAGGUGAAAUUCGUAGAUAUUAGGAAGAACACCGGUGGCGAAGGCGGCCCACUGGAUCGGUACUGACGCUGAGGUGCGAAAGCGUGGGGAGCAAACAGG
rnacentral:rRNA from 1 species